UCUAAGUCCAACAUAGCUGGCUGGCUCACCAGAGGG
rnacentral:sRNA from 1 species